rnacentral:rRNA from 1 species
UACGUAGGGUGCGAGCGUUGUCCGGAAUCAUUGGGCGUAAAGCGCACGUAGGCGGUUCGUUAUGUCGGAUGUGAAAGCCCUUGGCUUAACCGAGGAAGUGCAUCCGAAACUGGCGAGCUAGAGUACGAAAGAGGAUCGCGGAAUUCCCGGUGUAGAAGGUGAAAUUCGUAGAUAGUCGGGAGGAACACCGGUGGCGAAGGCGGCGAUCUGGGUCGAUACUGACGCUGAGGUGCGAAAGCGUGGGGAGCAACAGG